rnacentral:ncRNA from 1 species
UCCAUUAGUCAGUUUAUUAUAUAUCUCGGUGAAGAGCAAAAGCCAUUGUGCCGAGAGCCUAACCGCUCGAAGAGAGUGGUCUAGAAUGGGAAUGUUAGAGGAUACCCUAACAAACCCUAGAUGGCUCUUAUUGUGAGAUAAGAGUUGCCUGCGCCUAAAGGUGUGGCUAGAGGUUAGGUGUGCUGACAAAAUCGCAACCAAAGAUACUGUCUCAUCGCAUCCGCAAUAGAAGUUGAGCGUUAAAAGCGUGAACUGAAGCCAAGUUAGAGUCCAGUGUGGCAACUGGGGUAGACCUUGGUAAAGCCAAUAAGGAUGUUUGUAGUGAUGUCAUGGUAACAUGACUAUAAGAUGAGGUCAAGGUACGAGUAGCCUAAUACAGGGACAUAUGGUAAAAAGAAUAUUUUUGAAGAUUAUUAUUUUACUUCUUGUCUGAAUGGUGGGUGAAAGUUAGAGGUAGACAAUCCUCUCAAGCAAAGAUAUGAAGAAUAUCUAAGAGCGUAGAGUGCGCUUGAAGGCAAGAAGUUAUAAGGUCGCUCCUUAUGGCUCAGACUUGUUUUCGCUUGUGGUUGAAUAUGGUUGAAGGUUUAACAGUUGGUAGGGCGAAGGUCCAUAUAAUAGUUACUGAUU